rnacentral:rRNA from 1 species
CCUACGGGUGGCUGCAGUGGGGAAUAUUGCACAAUGGGCGCAAGCCUGAUGCAGCCAUGCCGCGUGUGUGAAGAAGGCCUUCGGGUUGUAAAGCACUUUCAGCGGGGAGGAAGGCGGUGAGGUUAAUAACCUCAUCGAUUGACGUUACCCGCAGAAGAAGCACCGGCUAACUCCGUGCCAGCAGCCGCGGUAAUACGGAGGGUGCAAGCGUUAAUCGGAAUUACUGGGCGUAAAGCGCACGCAGGCGGUCUGUCAAGUCGGAUGUGAAAUCCCCGGGCUCAACCUGGGAACUGCAUUCGAAACUGGCAGGCUGGAGUCUUGUAGAGGGGGGUAGAAUUCCAGGUGUAGCGGUGAAAUGCGUAGAGAUCUGGAGGAAUACCGGUGGCGAAGGCGGCCCCCUGGACAAAGACUGACGCUCAGGUGCGAAAGCGUGGGGAGCAAACAGGAUUAGAUACCCCUGUAGUC